GAUGAACGCUGGCGGCGUGCCUAAUACAUGCAAGUCGAGCGAACAGAUGAGGAGCUUGCUCCUCUGACGUUAGCGGCGGACGGGUGAGUAACACGUGGAGAACCUACCUAUAAGACUGGGAUAACUUCGGGAAACCGGAGCUAAUACCGGAUAAUAUAUUGAACCGCAUGGUUCAAUAGUGAAAGACGGUUUUGCUGUCACUUAUAGAUGGAUCCGCGCCGCAUUAGCUAGUUGGUAAGGUAACGGCUUACCAAGGCAACGAUGCGUAGCCGACCUGAGAGGGUGAUCGGCCACACUGGAACUGAGACACGGUCCAGACUCCUACGGGAGGCAGCAGUAGGGAAUCUUCCGCAAUGGGCGAAAGCCUGACGGAGCAACGCCGCGUGAGUGGUGAAGGUCUUCGGAUCGUAAAACUCUGUUAUUGGGGAAGAACAAAUGUGUAAGUAACUAUGCACGUCUUGACGGUACCUAAUCAGAAAGCCACGGCUAACUACGUG
rnacentral:rRNA from 1 species